UUGACCUCGGAUCAGGUAGGAAUACCCGCUGAACUUAAGCAUAUCAAAAAUCGGAGGA
rnacentral:rRNA from 1 species